rnacentral:lncRNA from 1 species
AUGACGGAGACCUUUGUGAAGGAUAUCAAGCCCAGGCUCAGGAGUCUGAAGCUUAUCGUUAUUGUGCUGGAGACAGGCCAAGACAAAGGAGGGGCACAAGGUUCAGACCUGCAAAGUGGCAGACAAAAUGGGCAGCCUCAAUAUCUCCGUCUGUGAUGACAUCGGCAAUCUGAUCCAGCCUGGGGACGUUGUCUGGCUCAACAAAGGGUGCGCUUCAGUUUUCAAAGGUUGUCUGACACAGUAUACUGGCCAUGGGGGUGAUCUACAGAAGACUGGAGAAUUCUGUAUGGUUUAUUCUGAUUUCCUAACUUCAAUGAGCCAAACUCAGAGUAUAGCAACCAGCAGGCGCCCAACAAGGUGGUGCAGAAAGACAGCAACCCUGCAGAACAACAGCAACCCUACAGCUUCCCAGCCUACCACUCGUCCCCCUGCUGCUUCUCCAGCCUCUGAAAGCCAGAAUGGGAAUGGAUCUAGUAACCCACCAGGGUCCUGGUAGUGGCCCACAUCCCCCUCAUAGUCCGUCCCACCCCCCCAGUACCAGAACCCCUCGAAGCCAGGCCAACCACACACCUGCAGGCCCACCUGACCCUUCAGCCCUGUUAGUAACGGCAAAGUAGCCCGGAGGAGCAGCAAGAUAUAG